UUGGAGGGGCAGAGGCUGAACCGCCCCGCCCGCCCGCCGCGCAUCUCUCCCCUCCUCCGCGGCCGGGGCGCCGGCCCAGCCAGACUCCCCGCCCCGGAGGCAGGCAGUGAGGAAACCGCCGACUCCGCCGCAGGUAAUUAUAGCGAGUGAGUCUUCUCUGAUGUGCAGAAAAGCAUCUACCAGACCUCCCACAAGCCGUUGACAUUUCUUCUGAUCUCUGGAUUAUCUUCCAGGAAAUUGAAGAAACUUAAUUGAGAAUGUCUGAAAACCUUGAAAAGUCCCAUCUAAAUGAAGCAGGAAAAUCACAGUCUAAUGAUUCUGAACAAGGCCUGGAAGAUGCCAUGGACGGUUCCGAGGUCGCUUUACAGAAAAAAAAGUCAGGCUCUCCUAGCUCCCAGAGAGUGCAAAGACCUCACUCCAGUCCUCCUCGCUUUGUGACAGUAGAAGAGCUUCUAGAGACAGCAAAAGGAGUCACUAACAUGGCUCUGGCCCAUGAAAUCGUAGUCAAUGGAGACUUCCAGAUUAAACCUGUUGCAUUACCGGAAGAUAGUUUGGAGAAGAAAGUCAAGGAGAUUGUACACAAAGCUUUUUGGGAUUGCUUGAGUGUCCAGCUAAGUGAAGACCCCCCAACCUACGACCAUGCCAUUAAACUUCUUGGUGAGAUCAAGGAGACUCUCUUAUCUUUCCUGCUGCCUGGUCACACUAGACUGAGAAACCAGAUUACGGAAGUCUUGGAUCUGGAUCUCAUAAUGCAGGAGGCAGAGAAUGGGGCCCUUGACAUUUGCAAGCUGGUUGAGUUCAUUAUUGGCAUGAUGGGAACACUGUGUGCACCUGCUCGAGAUGAGGAAGUUAAGAAGCUAAAGGACAUUAAGGAAAUAGUGCCCCUUUUCAGGGCGAUUUUUUCUGUGUUGGACCUGAUGAAGGUGGACAUGGCAAACUUUGCUGUCAGCAGCAUCAGGCCACAUCUCAUGCAGCAGUCAGUUGAAUAUGAAAGGAAGAAGUUUCAAGAGCUUUUGGAGAAGCAGCCAAACUCCCUGGACUUUGUCACCCAGUGGUUGGGAGAAGCCGCAGAUGACCUUAUGAAUCAGAAGUAUAAAAAUGCCCUGCCGGCGGGGGGAGGGGCCGCCGGCUCAGGAGACAGCCCCAUGCCUAGCCCUGCGGCUGUCCAGAAUUACGCGUACCUGAAGCUUCUGAAGUGGGACCACCUCCAGCAGCCUUUCCCUGAGACAGUGCUGAUGGACCAGGCCCGCUUCCGAGAGCUGCAGCUCCAGCUGGAACACCUGACUGUCCUGGGGGCGGUGCUGCUGGUCACCUUCAGCAUGGCCGCCUCAGACAUUGCCAGCCAGGCCAACUUCGCCGAGAAACUCAAGAUGAUCGUGAAGAUCCUGCUAACAGACAUGCAUCUGCCCUCCUUCCAUCUGAAGGAUGCCCUGACAACCAUCGGUGAGAAAGUCUGCUUGGAGGUGAGCAGCUGCCUUUCCCUGUGCGGGUCCACCCCCUUUUCCUCGGACAAGGAGACCGUGCUCAAGGGCCAGAUCCGGGCCGUGGCCAGUCCUGACAACCCCAUCCGCAGGAUCAUGGAGGUACGUGGAUCAGUGGUUUUGAAAAAUUAUUUUGUCCCAGUCCUGCAAUGGUCACAGUUUCACCUGUGCGUCACUCCGGAGCAGCCUCUUGAAGACAUUGCCACGCCCUGUGACCAUCAAGAUUAAUGUUAUUGAGAAGCAGGAAAGUGCCUGUAAAUAGACCCUGGCUAACGGGCUGCUCCUCAUUCUGCCAUCCUGGUUGUUUAGUAACAGCCAGUGGUAGACAUGGAGGUAGCAACCUGCCCUCACAAAGGAAUGACACCGGGAUCUCCACUUCUGGAUUGUCGAAUCCUGACCUUCUUAGAAACCUACCUUGCCUCAGGCCAUGAGAAGGCAUUGCCCACAAUACCUGGGGGAUUGGGUCCAGUCCACAAAGAGCUGGAGGAAGUUGCUAUUAAAUUUGUUCGUCUGGUCAACUAUAA